rnacentral:misc_RNA from 1 species
AUGAAGUCCCUGUCUCUGCUCCUCGCUGUGGCUUUGGGCCUGGCGACCGCCGUCUCAGCAGGACCCGCGGUGAUCGAGUGUUGGUUCGUGGAGGAUGCGAGCGGAAAGGGCCUGGCCAAGAGACCCGGUGCACUGCUGUUGCGCCAGGGACCGGGGGAACCGCCGCCCCGGCCGGACCUCGACCCUGAGCUCUAUCUCAGUGUACACGACCCCGCGGGCGCCCUCCAGGCUGCCUUCAGGCGGUAUCCCCGGGGCGCCCCCGCACCACACUGCGAGAUGAGCCGCUUCGUGCCUCUCCCCGCCUCUGCGAAAUGGGCCAGCGGCCUGACCCCCGCGCAGAACUGCCCGCGGGCCCUGGAUGGGGCUUGGCUGAUGGUCAGCAUAUCCAGCCCAGUCCUCAGCCUCUCCAGCCUCUUGCGACCACAGCCAGAGCCUCAGCAGGAGCCUGUUCUCAUCACCAUGGCAACAGUGGUACUGACUGUCCUCACCCACACCCCUGCCCCUCGAGUGAGACUGGGACAAGAUGCUCUGCUGGACUUGAGCUUUGCCUACAUGCCCCCCACCUCCGAGGCCGCCUCAUCUCUGGCUCCGGGUCCCCCUCCCUUUGGGCUAGAGUGGCGACGCCAGCACCUGGGUAAGGGACAUCUGCUCCUGGCUGCAACUCCUGGGCUGAAUGGCCAGAUGCCAGCAGCCCAAGAAGGGGCCGUGGCAUUUGCUGCUUGGGAUGAUGAUGAGCCAUGGGGCCCAUGGACCGGAAAUGGGACCUUCUGGCUGCCUACAGUUCAACCCUUUCAGGAGGGCACCUAUCUGGCCACCAUACACCUGCCAUACCUGCAAGGACAGGUCACCCUGGAGCUUGCUGUGUACAAACCCCCCAAAGUGUCCCUGAUGCCAGCAACCCUUGCACGGGCCGCCCCAGGGGAGGCACCCCCGGAAUUGCUCUGCCUUGUGUCCCACUUCUACCCUUCUGGGGGCCUGGAGGUGGAGUGGGAACUCCGGGGUGGCCCAGGGGGCCGCUCUCAGAAGGCCGAGGGGCAGAGGUGGCUCUCGGCCCUGCGCCACCAUUCCGAUGGCUCUGUCAGCCUCUCUGGGCACUUGCAGCCGCCCCCAGUCACCACUGAGCAGCAUGGGGCACGCUAUGCCUGUCGAAUUCACCAUCCCAGCCUGCCUGCCUCGGGGCGCAGCGCUGAGGUCACCCUGGAGGUAGCAGGUAAGAGCUGGGAGCUCUGCGGAAUCUGA